GACGAACGCUGGCGGCGUGCCUAAUACAUGCAAGUCGAACGAUGAAGGAGGAGCUUGCUUCUCCGGAUGAGUUGCGAACGGGUGAGUAACGCGUAGGUAACCUGCCUGGUAGCGGGGGAUAACUAUUGGAAACGAUAGCUAAUACCGCAUAACAGUAGAUGUUGCAUGACAUUUUCUUAAAAUUUGCAAUUGCAUCAUUACCAGAUGGACUUGCGUUGUAUUAGUUAGUUGGUGAGGUACCGGCUCACCAAGGCGACGCUACAUAGCCGACCUGAGAGGGUGAUCGGCCACACUGGGACGGAGACACGGCCCAGUCGCCUACGGGAGGCAGCAGGAGUGAAUCGUCGGCAAGGGGCGGAAGUCUGACCGAGCUACGCCGCGGGAGUGAAGAAGGUUUUCGGAUCAUAGAGCUCUGUUGUAAGAUAAGAACGAGUGUUAGAGUGGAAAGUACACACUGUGACGGUAUCUGACCAGAAAGGGACGGCUAACUACGUG
rnacentral:rRNA from 1 species